rnacentral:rRNA from 1 species
AACGAACGCUGGCGGCAUGCCUAACACAUGCAAGUCGAACGAGACCUUCGGGUCUAGUGGCGCACGGGUGCGUAACGCGUGGGAACCUGCCCUUAGGUUCGGAAUAACUCCCCGAAAGGGGUGCUAAUACCGGAUAAUGUCUUCGGACCAAAGAUUUAUCGCCUUUGGAUGGGCCCGCGUUGGAUUAGCUAGUUGGUAGGGUAAAAGCCUACCAAGGCGACGAUCCAUAGCUGGUCUGAGAGGAUGAUAAGCCACACUGGGACUGAGACACGGCCCAGACUCCUACGGGAGGCAGCAGUGGGGAAUAUUGGACAAUGGGCGAAAGCCUGAUAAAGCAAUGCCGCGUGAGUGAUGAAGGCCUUAGGGUUGUAAAGCUCUUUUACCCGGGAUGAUAAUGACAGUACCGGGAGAAUAAGCUCCGGCUAACUCCGUG